rnacentral:rRNA from 1 species
AUUGAACGCUGGCGGCAUGCCUUACACAUGCAAGUCGAACGGCAGCACGGGAGCAAUCCUGGUGGCGAGUGGCGAACGGGUGAGUAAUAUAUCGGAACGUGCCCAGUCGUGGGGGAUAACGUAGAGAAAUUUACGCUAAUACCGCAUACGAUCUAUGGAUGAAAGCGGGGGAUCGCAAGACCUCGCGCGAUUGGAGCGGCCGAUAUCAGAUUAGGUAGUUGGUGAGGUAAAGGCUCACCAAGCCGACGAUCUGUAGCUGGUCUGAGAGGACGACCAGCCACACUGGGACUGAGACACGGCCCAGACUCCUACGGGAGGCAGCAGUGGGGAAUUUUGGACAAUGGGCGCAAGCCUGAUCCAGCAAUGCCGCGUGCAGGAUGAAGGCCUUCGGGUUGUAAACUGCUUUGUACGGAACGAAACGGUGAGCUCUAAUACAGUUUGCUAAUGACGGUACCGUAAGAAUAAGCACCGGCUAACUACGUG